rnacentral:rRNA from 1 species
UGGGGAAUAUUGGACAAUGGGCGAAAGCCUGAUCCAGCCAUGCCGCGUGUGUGAAGAAGGUCUUCGGAUUGUAAAGCACUUUAAGUUGGGAGGAAGGGCAGUAAGCGAAUACCUUGCUGUUUUGACGUUACCGACAGAAUAAGCACCGGCUAACUCUGUGCCAGCAGCCGCGGUAAUACAGAGGGUGCAAGCGUUAAUCGGAAUUACUGGGCGUAAAGCGCGCGUAGGUGGUUCGUUAAGUUGAAUGUGAAAGCCCCGGGCUCAACCUGAGAACAGCCUCCGAAACUGGCGAGCUAGAGUAGGGCAGAGGGUGGUGGAAUUUCCUGUGUAGCGGUGAAAUGCGUAGAUAUAGGAAGGAACACCAGUGGCGAAGGCGACCACCUGGGCUCAUACUGACACUGAGGUGCGAAAGCGUGGGGAGCAAACAGG